rnacentral:ribozyme from 12 species
UAGGUCUUACCCAUGUUACUUUUUUCACUUUCUUCGUUUUCUUUUUCCUUUUGUCAGUCAUAUCGCUUUCAUCCUUGACUUUUUCUGUCGAGAAAGCAGGGUGGCCUUUUGGAAGGGAAGAUGGGUCAAGGACUUUCAAAUUCUUAUUUUUAGCCUUUAUUACAGCUC